UACGAAGGGGGCUAGCGUUGCUCGGAAUCACUGGGCGUAAAGGGUGCGUAGGCGGGUCUUUAAGUCAGGGGUGAAAUCCUGGAGCUCAACUCCAGAACUGCCUUUGAUACUGAAGAUCUUGAGUUCGGGAGAGGUGAGUGGAACUGCGAGUGUAGAGGUGAAAUUCGUAGAUAUUCGCAAGAACACCAGUGGCGAAGGCGACUCGCUGGACAGACAUUGACGCUGAGGUGCGAAAGCGUGGGGAGCAAACAGGG
rnacentral:rRNA from 1 species